CUCCCUGGCCCCUCGUCGCCGUCGCAAAAACGCGCCCCUGCCUCACGCCGUUCCUGCUGGCGGGAAACGGCCCGGGGGUUGGAGGGAGAACCGGGAGAAGGGGGGGAUAGGACGUGUCGUAAAAACCCAUCUUCCCUCGUGCCCCUUUUCCUCCCGCCUCCUUAGUCUCAGCACCGUGCAACCCUUGUAGUAGAUAUGUGCGCUCCGCCACCCUUCUCUCUCUCGCCGUCUCUUUGCCGCCGAGGAACCGACAUUUUUGCAGGGUGGUACCCGAAACCCCCUCGACACGCGGUUCCCCUGUAAAAUUCACAUCCUAUCCAGAAUCUGUGGUCCCCCCCGCUCUACUCGUUCGUUUCUUCAUGCGUGCACGUACUGGACGUUAACAGGGCGGGCGCGUGAGGGGUGAGGAAACCCGGCAUGGAAAAGGUUCGCCGGUGUAAUCCCUCUGAUAAAAUGCGAAGGCUGAGGGGAGGGCAGGAAGAUCACAGGAAUGACUUUCGGAUAUGCCGCUGGAGACGCGUCGUCGCCGCAUACCGGCGGGCUGAUGAGCGAAAUCAAAGCGGGUGAAAAACGGGAAUCAAAGCGAAGAAGAAUGGACAAUCCCCACGCUGGAAAAUAUUAGGUCCGUCGUGUUCACAACCAUGCGAGUUAAAAUCCCGUUUCAAAGCGAAGACCCCGCGAAAUUAAACGAGAAAAUAACCGCGCGAUAAGCUGCAGCAAGACUGAACACAGGCAUUAAAGAUUAAACCUCAGGACGUAUCUCUAUAUUGCGCACAAAAAGAAACGGGAAAGAAGCACGGAUGGGCUUAACGAGGGUACGGCGGUUCCUUCUAGCUGGAAAUAUGCAAAUUGACGGAGGAGCCUGAGAAACACUUGGAAAAGGGGUCGUGCACGAUGGACAAUUUUUUGACCAGGUCGUUCUUAAAUACCGACGGCAGAAAAACGCAAGGAAAAAAGCGAGGGAUCAGGCGAACGGUGAGCAUUACUGCGCGUGAGAUUCUCCGUCCGAGACGCCCGAGAGUAUCGCGCAGCUGCUUUAUUUCUUGUAGAAAAGUCAGACGGCUCGCGAAAAAAUAUCCCGAAUGAAAAUCCUGUUUCGACCCGGAAGACUUCGGAUGCCUCCUCGAGCGCCGUCGUUCGCGCAGCGGCGUUAUACUUUUUCGACGACGCUCUUCGACUUAACUCUUCGUCAAAUUCGCCGGAAAU